AAUGAACGUUGGCGGCGUGGAUUAGGCAUGCAAGUCGAGCGAGAAGCUUGAGUUUGACGCUUCGGUUGAUUUCUCAAGUGGAAAGCGGCGAAAGGGUGAGUAACGCGUAGUUAUGUGCCCCAGGGGUCUAGAAUAGCCUCGGGAAACUGAGGGUAAUGCUGGAUAAUAUCUCCGGAUCAAAGGUGUGAUUCCGCCCUGGGAGCAGACUGCGUCCUACUAGCUUGUUGGUGGGGUAAUGGCCUACCAAGGCUGCGAUGGGUAGCGGGCGUGAGAGCGUGGCCCGUCACACUGGGACUGGAGACACUGCCCAGACACCUACCGGGUGGCUGCAGUCGAGGAAUCUUCGGCAAUGCGCGCGAGCGUGACCGAGCGACGCCGCGUGUGGGAUGAAGGCCUGGUUGU
rnacentral:rRNA from 1 species